rnacentral:rRNA from 1 species
AUUGAACGCUGGUGGCAGGCCUAACACAUGCAAGUCGAGCGGAUGAAGGGAGCUUGCUCCUGGAUUCAGCGGCGGACGGGUGAGUAAUGCCUAGGAAUCUGCCUGGUAGUGGGGGAUAACGUCCGGAAAUGGGCGCUAAUACCGCAUACGUCCUGAGGGAGAAAGUGGGGGAUCUUCGGACCUCACGCUAUCAGAUGAGCCUAGGUCGGAUUAGCUAGUUGGUGGGGUAAAGGCCUACCAAGGCGACGAUCCGUAACUGGUCUGAGAGGAUGAUCAGUCACACUGGAACUGAGACACGGUCCAGACUCCUACGGGAGGCAGCAGUGGGGAAUAUUGGACAAUGGGCGAAAGCCUGAUCCAGCCAUGCCGCGUGUGUGAAGAAGGUCUUCGGAUUGUAAAGCACUUUAAGUUGGGAGGAAGGGCAGUAAGUUAAUACCUUGCUGUUUUGACGUUACCAACAGAAUAAGCACCGGCUAACUUCGUG